rnacentral:rRNA from 1 species
CCGGCACGGUGAGUAACGCGUAUGCAACUUGCCUAUCAGAGGGGGAUAACCCGGCGAAAGUCGGACUAAUACCGCAUGAAGCAGGGAUCCCGCAUGGGAAUAUUUGCUAAAGAUUCAUCGCUGAUAGAUAGGCAUGCGUUCCAUUAGGCAGUUGGCGGGGUAACGGCCCACCAAACCGACGAUGGAUAGGGGUUCUGAGAGGAAGGUCCCCCACAUUGGACUGAGACACGGCCAA